rnacentral:rRNA from 1 species
AAAUUGAAGAGUUUGAUCAUGGCUCAGAUUGAACGCUGGCGGCAGGCCUAACACAUGCAAGUCGAGCGGUAGCACAGAGAGCUUGCUCUCGGGUGACGAGCGGCGGACGGGUGAGUAAUGUCUGGGAAACUGCCUGAUGGAGGGGGAUAACUACUGGAAACGGUAGCUAAUACCGCAUAACGUCGCAAGACCAAAGUGGGGGACCUUCGGGCCUCAUGCCAUCAGAUGUGCCCAGAUGGGAUUAGCUAGUAGGUGGGGUAAUGGCUCACCUAGGCGACGAUCCCUAGCUGGUCUGAGAGGAUGACCAGCCACACUGGAACUGAGACACGGUCCAGACUCCUACGGGAGGCAGCAGUGGGGAAUAUUGCACAAUGGGCGCAAGCCUGAUGCAGCCAUGCCGCGUGUGUGAAGAAGGCCUUCGGGUUGUAAAGCACUUUCAGCGGGGAGGA